CAGUAGCGGCGAGCGAACGGGGAGCAGCCCAGAGCCUGAAUCAGUAUGUGUGUUAGUGGAAGCGUCUGGAAAGGCGCGCGAUACAGGGUGACAGCCCCGUACACAAAAAUGCACAUGCUGUGAGCUCGAUGAGUAGGGCGGGACACGUGGUAUCCUGUCUGAAUAUGGGGGGACCAUCCUCCAAGGCUAAAUACUCCUGACUGACCGAUAGUGAACCAGUACCGUGAGGGAAAGGCGAAAAGAACCCCGGCGAGGGGAGUGAAAAAGAACCUGAAACCGUGUACGUACAAGCAGUGGGAGCACGCUUAGGCGUGUGACUGCGUACCUUUUGUAUAAUGGGUCAGCGACUUAUAUUCUGUAGCAAGGUUAACCGAAUAGGGGAGCCGAAGGGAAACCGAGUCUUAACUGGGCGUUAAGUUGCAGGGUAUAGACCCGAAACCCGGUGAUCUAGCCAUGGGCAGGUUGAAGGUUGGGUAACACUAACUGGAGGACCGAACCGACUAAUGUUGAAAAAUUAGCGGAUGACUUGUGGCUGGGGGUGAAAGGCCAAUCAAACCGGGAGAUAGCUGGUUCUCCCCGAAAGCUAUUUAGGUAGCGCCUCGUGAAUUCAUCUCCGGGGGUAGAGCACUGUUUCGGCAAGGGGGUCAUCCCGACUUACCAACCCGAUGCAAACUGCGAAUACCGGAGAAUGUUAUCACGGGAGACACACGGCGGGUGCUAACGUCCGUCGUGAAGAGGGAAACAACCCAGACCGCCAGCUAAGGUCCCAAAGUCAUGGUUAAGUGGGAAACGAUGUGGGAAGGCCCAGACAGCCAGGAUGUUGGCUUAGAAGCAGCCAUCAUUUAAAGAAAGCGUAAUAGCUCACUGGUCGAGUCGGCCUGCGCGGAAGAUGUAACGGGGCUAAACCAUGCACCGAAGCUGCGGCAGCGACGCUGAUGCGUUGUUGGGUAGGGGAGCGUUCUGUAAGCCUGCGAAGGUGUGCUGUGAGGCAUGCUGGAGGUAUCAGAAGUGCGAAUGCUGACAUAAGUAACGAUAAAGCGGGUGAAAAGCCCGCUCGCCGGAAGACCAAGGGUUCCUGUCCAACGUUAAUCGGGGCAGGGUGAGUCGACCCCUAAGGCGAGGCCGAAAGGCGUAGUCGAUGGGAAACAGGUUAAUAUUCCUGUACUUGGUGUUACUGCGAAGGGGGGACGGAGAAGGCUAUGUUGGCCGGGCGACGGUUGUCCCGGUUUAAGCGUGUAGGCUGGUUUUCCAGGCAAAUCCGGAAAAUCAAGGCUGAGGCGUGAUGACGAGGCACUACGGUGCUGAAGCAACAAAUGCCCUGCUUCCAGGAAAAGCCUCUAAGCAUCAGGUAACAUCAAAUCGUACCCCAAACCGACACAGGUGGUCAGGUAGAGAAUACCAAGGCGCUUGAGAGAACUCGGGUGAAGGAACUAGGCAAAAUGGUGCCGUAACUUCGGGAGAAGGCACGCUGAUAUGUAGGUGAAGUCCCUCGCGGAUGGAGCUGAAAUCAGUCGAAGAUACCAGCUGGCUGCAACUGUUUAUUAAAAACACAGCACUGUGCAAACACGAAAGUGGACGUAUACGGUGUGACGCCUGCCCGGUGC
rnacentral:rRNA from 1 species